rnacentral:rRNA from 1 species
ACAAUGGGCGAAAGCCUGAUCCAGCCAUGCCGCGUGUGUGAAGAAGGUCUUCGGAUUGUAAAGCACUUUAAGUUGGGAGGAAGGGUUGUAGAUUAAUACUCUGCAAUUUUGACGUUACCGACAGAAUAAGCACCGGCUAACUCU